CUCUGAUUGACCAUACUUUCAGCACCUGGACAGUGGUUUCAGUACAUGAUGUAGUAUUCAACUUUCAUAAAUGUAAUAGAAAGCUUUUAAUCAUAGACUAGGAAUUUAAUCUAAUCUAAAUACCAUAACUCUAUGCUCAACAACAAACUGAUGGUGAUUUCUCAUCUCAAUAAUUACCAGUAGCAGAAUUAUGCAACUAUGAUACGUUCUGUGCUAUUAAAAAAAUUAGUAACAGUGGUACACCAGGAAGCUCAUUAAGCUUUAACUACACUGUUGCAUCGAAUAUUGAAGCCAGCAAGGCUGCUUGUAAUUGAUCAAUUUACUCUGUUUGUUUAAAAUAUAUGUGCCAACCCAAUGAUUGCUAACAAAACCUAAUCCUAAAGCACAUCUAACACAAACAAUUGUGAAAUCUUCAAAUUACUUGCCAGACUCGAAGAGAUCAUUUUGAAAAUUGAAGUAAUUGCCGGAAUUGCACAAUGAAAAACAGUGGUGAAUCAUUCUGAUAUUUUAAGAGUAGCGCAAUGCACAAGAGUAAAAAAAGUUUACAAACUAAUACACAAUACUGUAUUUUUCUAAUAAAUUUGCUACUGAUAAUCUAUCUAGUCUACUGAAAUAGUAAGUGGUAGAGGCGAGCAAGAAAAUGUGCACUGACCUGGAGUUUCGAUACGGUGUCUGAAGAGGAAGGUUCGCAGCAGCACUCUGCAGGUAGUGGAUUGGGGAGAUUUGCUGAAGGGUGGGAGAUUCUUCUUCAGAGAACAACCCAGUCUUGAACUUGAGUAACCAAUAUUAGCCAGCAUGGUCACACGUAUCAUCUAUCUAUUGUGUUUACUCAACAGGGCUGAUUGCUUCUCUUUCUAUGUGCCACUGCUGCAUUGUACUUCACCUUUAUG